UCUGGCAGUCUUCGAUUGUCCGAGUUGUAAUCUAUAGAGGCGUUUUCCGUGCCGGACCGUGUCCAAGUCUCCUGGAAAGGAGUAUCAAAGAGGGUGAUAAUCCCGUACUUAACACGACCACCGGUGCUCUGUGAUACGUCUUCUACGAGUCGAGUUGUUUGGGAAUGCAGCUCAAAAUGGGUGGUGAAUUCCAUCUAAAGCUAAAUAUUGGCGAGAGACCGAUAGCGAACAAGUACCGUGAGGGAAAGAUGAAAAGCACUUUGGAAAGAGAGUUAAACAGUACGUGAAAUUGUUGAAAGGGAAACGAUUGAAGUCAGUCGUGUUCUUUGGAUUCAGCCAGUUCUGCUGGUCUACUUCCUUGGAACGGGUCAACAUCAGUUUUGUCCGGUGGAUAAAGGUAGUAGGAAUGUGACUUCUCCGGAAGUGUUAUAGCCUAUUAUCACAUACACUGGGUGAGACUGAGGACUGCAGCUCGCCUUUAUGGCCGGCCUUCGGGCACGUUCGAGCUUAGGAUGUUGACAUAAUGGCUUUAAACGACCCGUCU
rnacentral:rRNA from 1 species